rnacentral:lncRNA from 1 species
GUCACUUCCAACUCAGGAGAAAUCAAGAAGGGCAACGCUGUUCUCUUCUCCUCUGGACUCUCCUGGGCCACUCCCUCCUGGUCCACAAGCCUGGGGCCGGGGAAGCCCAUGUGGAGUCUCCUGAGCUGCCCAGCUGCCCUCCACCUGCCCUGGCCCUUCCAGGGGAGGCUGGGGCUCCUGGGCCCGGAAGCACAGUUCUCCUUCCUGCCUGGAAGUUCUGUGCCGCCAGUCUUCCCCGCCUGCUCUUCGGGAACACGGGGCACUUCCCUGCUCCGCCACCUCUCCUGAGUCAAGCUGCCAUGCUGUUCCUGCGCCUCUGCCUCCGCUCCCCUGGCACACGCCCUCCCUCACGCUGGCUCAGCCCCCACCGUGCUCCUCAUGUCUUUCUGCUGCGACUCUCACGACGUGACCUCUGAACAAGAGACCCUGCCAGGCUAUAUCCAAGGUCAAAGGCCUUUCUGACUCCCCAGCACCCCUAGGACGACACUGAAAUCAACAAGAGAGGAGCCCGUCUCCUCCCUGGUGGGAUGCAGGUACCGUGACCAGGGGCCCCCUUGCAUGCCGUUUCAUUCCCUGUCUCCCUGGCUUUAUUUAUUAGCCUGAAAUAUAUUCCUGUUUUCAUUUCAGUUACAGCAGACUUCUUGUUGGGGACCGCAUAUCAAGUCAAGAUGGCACAUGGCAGUUUGCCAGGAGGAGUGGUUUGUGAGGCAACGCCACCGAGCCAUUAAGAUGGUGGGAUUCCUUAUUGGCUGACUGCUGAGUCAAGCUGUGGGUAACCAGUCAGGUAUAUACACCUCUGCUGUUUUGCAAUAAGGCGGCUCCCGCUACCUUGGGUGCCCGCUACCUUGAGUUCCCGCUCUGUUCCUGCUGAGUUUCCCCCGCAAUAAAGCAGUUCCCACUUCAAC